CUACCAUGGCAAUCACGGGUAACGGAGAAUUAGGGUUCGAUUCCGGAGAGGGAGCCUGAGAAAUGGCUACCACAUCUACGGAAGGCAGCAGGCGCGAAAAUUGCCCAAUCCCGAUACGGGGAGGCAGUGACAAGAAAUAACAACUCUCAACUUUUGUUGAGAAGUGUAAUGAGGAUAAUUUACAAACCUUACCGAAAGCAAUUGGAGGGCAAGUCUGGUGCCAGCAGCCGCGGUAAUUCCAGCUCCAAAAGCGUAUAUUAAAGUUGUUGCAGUUAAAAAGCUCGUAGUUGAAGUUCUGGUUGUAUUGGGCCUCUGCACUUGAUGCGAAGGAACCAGCAGUCAUCCGCUUGCAAGUACAUGUCCUUCCUUAACCGGUAGGCUGUAUGAGUAAGUACUUUACCUUGAGAAAAACAGAGUGUUCCAGGCAGGUUUGUCCGGAAUGCGUUAGCAUGGAAUAAUAGAAUAUGACUGAAGUCGAUUUAUUGGUUAAAGGCUUUAGUAAUGAUUAAUAGGAACAAUCGGGGGCAUUGGUACUUGUCAGUCAGAGGUGAAAUUCUAGGAUUUGACAAAGACUAACUGAUGCGAAAGCGUUUGCCAAGAAUGUUUUCAUUAAUCAAGAACGAAAGUUAGGGGAUC
rnacentral:rRNA from 1 species